rnacentral:lncRNA from 1 species
GGCUCUCUGGAAAAGCCUCCCUUACUGUGUAGGUGGAGAGCCCAUAACAGCACUGUGGUGAGUGUUGAGCACUUCAUGUUCAGUUCAGAUUCAUUCAUUCUGAGCGGCUCCUCGGACAGAAGCGCCAGACUGUGGACCCCAGAUGGGAAAUUUGUGGGAACCUUUGGGCAGGAAAAGAGAUGGGACUUGAAAAAUCCAUCAACAUUUGCCCACCCCAAGGAUCCCUGGAGUGAGAGAAGAGAAAUCAGGAAAAAACGAACGCCAACCAAGCAGCCGGCAUAUACUGAUGGGCGGCUCUUCAGUUCAAGGGAGCUUGUCAGAAAUGUGGUGGGAGAGACAGAAGAGAAGGUAAACCAGGAGAUCAAUGGGGGAAGCGCAAUGGAGGAGAAAGAGCAACUGCAGGAGUUCCAAUUACCAAGAGCGGAUGGUGCCCAUCCUUCCACAUCCCCCAGCCAGAUUUCUGCCGCGGAUGCAGUGCAAAGCAGCCUGACAACUCCACAAGUGUUCACCGGUACCUCAAAUCAAAGAAAACACGAGUGCCAGAGCCUUUUCAGACACCAUCUGGAAAAUGACCUGGUGAAAAGAAUUACAGGAAGGAAAGCCCGUCGGCGUGUGUUUGGGGCUAUCAGUGCUAACAAAUUCAACCGGUUUGGGACACUCUGUUCACCUUUUCAUGCACUAGUAACUCCGGAGAUGCAGAAAUUAACUUUACCUCAAGACUUACCCAUGACCCCUCGGAUGCUGAGGCAGGGCAUAGUCUGCAGCACCGAGACGGACUUACGGUCUUUACCAUUAACCUUCCCAGACCUGGACGCCAAGAAGACAGAAGAGCCCAGCCUGAGUGAGAGAAAGAAGUCAUCAGUCCACAUGAAAGCCCCUCUGCUUCCCCCAUUAGUUAAACCUACCAGAGCUAGCCUCUCCCACAGUAAAAAGGCUAAAAGUUUCCAAUUUCCCUCCCAGUUCUCACAGUAGCUGUCUCUAUUAGCCUGUAAUAGAUGCUAAGUACUGGCACCUUCUGAAAGAGAAUAUCUGGAUUCCAUUUCUACAGCAAUAUGCUUUGUCUUUUUUUGUAUUAGACCCUGGAGCAUUGUUUUAAGCAGUCCCUUUGACACCUAAAUUCCUCUUUGAUACACACAUAAAGUAAUUGCAAAAGAGUAUUUUUGUACUUUGGUUUCAAAAUGGUGAAAUUUCUACACUGAAUCAUGAAAAUAAAGCAACUAACAUGGGAUUUUGUGAGGGGCA